CACGGGGGUUGCGAGCGUUGUCCGGAAUUACUAGGCGUAAAGGGCAGGCAGGCGGAUCCAUAAGUUUAUCGUUUAAGGCGUCGGCUUAACCGGCGUAGGGCGGUAGAUACUGUGGAUCUGGAAUGCGGUUGGGGAAGACAGAAUUCCUGGUGUAGCGGUGGAAUGCGCAGAGAUCAGGAGGAAUACCGAAGGCGAAGGCAGUCUUCCAAGCCGUUAUUGACGCUCAACUGCGAAGGUGUGGGUAUCAAACAGGAUUAGAUACCCGCGUAGUCCCUGA
rnacentral:rRNA from 1 species